GACGAACGCUGGCGGCGUGCUUAACACAUGCAAGUCGAACGGAAAGGCCCUGCUUUUGUGGGGUGCUCGAGUGGCGAACGGGGGAGUAACACGUGAGUAACCUGCCCUUGACUUUGGGAUAACUUCAGGAAACUGGGGCUAAUACCGGAUAGGAGCUCCUGCUGCAUGGUGGGGGUUGGAAAGUUUCGGCGGUUGGGGAUGGACUCGCGGCUUAUCAGCUUGUUGGUGGGGUAGUGGCUGACCAAGGCUUUGACGGGUAGCCGGCCUGAGAGGGUGACCGGCCACACUGGGACUGAGAUACGGCCCAGACUCCUACGGGAGGCAGCAGUGGGGAAUAUUGCACAAUGGGCGGAAGCCUGAUGCAGCAACGCCGCGUGCGGGAUGACGGCCUUCGGGUUGUAAACCGCUUUCGCCUGUGACGAAGCGUAAGUGACGGUAAUGGGUAAAGAAGCACCGGCUAACUACGUG
rnacentral:rRNA from 1 species